GGAAGCCAAGGUCAAAGGGCAGGUAUUUACUGUUCAUUUCUCCCAAUGACCUGCUCAGAGCUACCCAUCCGUUCAACUGCUGGCAAUAGCUCUACAGUACUGCAAUGAAGUGGAUAUUGUGUUGAACAACAGCGCUGGACAGAAGCAAUAUCAUUCAUUCAAAGCCCACUCAGUUCUGAGCAUUCAGUACUAAGCAAACUGAGGGCAAAAUAGACUUCAAUGGGUGCCAGCUGGUAAUGAAAACAGAUAGCAGUGCAGCCUUGCUGAAGUUUUAAUAUCUUCCGGGUGAGUGGAAGGAUAGGAAGGAUAUUAAAAUGCAUCUCACCCAGAGGACACCUGGUUCAAGAAGACUAAAGGGGAAAGUACAGUUAUUUGGCUGCCAAUUCAACAUAUCACUCAGGGAAGCGAAGAAGAAUUUAUAAACAGUGAAAGCAAAAAAUCAACAGAAAUUAAAACACAUUACGCCAGAGGCAUUCCUCGACUUAUGAUGACAAUUAGAACCAGAAUUAGAAUUUCUGUCGCUGAACGAGGUGGUGGCUCACUGACUUGUGCCCAAUUUUUACAACUUUAUUUUUGCCAUGGUUGUUAAGCAAACCACUGUGUUUUGGAAUGAUGGGACCAAACAACAUUCCUGGUCAGCGAGAGACAGUUUAUUGC